rnacentral:rRNA from 1 species
GAUGAACGCUAGCGGCAGGCUUAACACAUGCAAGUCGAGGGGCAGCGCGAGUAGCAAUACUUGGCGGCGACCGGCGAAAGGGUGAGUAACGCGUGAGCAACAUGCCCGGUACUGGAGGAUAGUCGAUGGAAACGUCGCGUAAUACUCCGUAACAACAUGGAUCGCAUGGUCUGUGUUUAAGAGAUUUAUCGAUACCGGAUUGGCUCGCGUUCCAUUAGCUAGUUGGCGGGGUAACGGCCCACCAAGGCGACGAUGGAUAGGGGUUCUGAGAGGAAGGUCCCCCACAUUGGAACUGAGACACGGUCCAGACUCCUACGGGAGGCAGCAGUGAGGAAUAUUGGUCAAUGGCCGAGAGGCUGAACCAGCCAUGCCGCGUGCGGGAGGACGGCCCUAUGGGUUGUAAACCGCUUUUUGUGGGAGCAAUAAGUCCUACGUGUAGGAUGAUGAGAGUACCAUGAGAAUAAGCAUCGGCUAACUCCGUGCC